UCUGAGCUGGUUGGAGAAGGUAAAGUGUGAGUUUGUGUUUCUGUAACACCAGCGGUCCAUUUUACAAGAUAUUGGUGGGGCAAACGCAGAUGGCAGAAGGACUGCAUCCACCUGAAAAAUGCUAUUUGUCAUCAAAGCUUGAAUAGAACUCCACGGAGGGCAGGCAGCACACUUGUCAUCACUACCCCUUCCAGACUUGCAUGGGCUUGCUAUGAGGCAGAAGUAGCACUGAGCUCCUCUAGAAAAGACUGUACAGAAUCUCCUGUUCAGCAUGGGGCAUUGUUUAUAUAGACAAGAGGGUGGUUCUGAGACCACACAAAGCAGAUUCAAAGCUGCAUUCAAGGAUUAGAGUAAAUCUGUUGGAUUUCUUCCUCCUCUUCCCUUUCUACAAUCUGGUAAAAUGAGGGGACUCUAACAGCAUGUUACUCUAACAGCAUGUGAGGUGGUAUCAGUGGGUGCUGAUGUGUUGGUUGUAAGCAGAUGGGCCUUCCAGAUUAGUUGCCAGUGGAUGCAAAAGUAUUUGCACAGGUGGAGUAACAACAGUCCAGUGUGGGAAUUCUCCUGUUUUUUUGGUUUGUUUUGUUGUUAUUGUUGUUGUUUGUUUGG